UUCUUAUUCGCUGGCAUUUGUAUCGUGAAAUUUGGUAAGUAUUGUAAUAAAACCGAAUUAUUUUACAAGUAAAUUAUAAUUUUGCAUUUAUUAGGUCAUUUCCUUAGUGUUUUCCUGGCCGACCUGUGCUGGUAUUGUAAUUAAGAGCUAAUACACCAUUCUCUGGUGAACUGCAGCUGCGGCCGAAUUUGAUUGUGUGCAUCAUCCUGCAGAUAUUUUGAAGUAAGUUGGAACCAGCUCUUUGUUAUUUCAAAACCUAAUGAACCAUUUAUUCGCAGAUUUUGUGGGCCCUUCUGCUGUGCUGCGUUCCUGCUCCGCCUGUGUAUUUCUCCGCCCGUGUUUUAUAGUGUUGCGUCCCUGUUGCGCCUUUGCAUUAGUGUGUGCGUUGUGCUUUAGACACGUUGAAAUUGUUUGUAUGCUUCUGCUGUGCGGCGUUCCUGCUUCACCCGUG